AAAGUCGUAACAAGGUUUCCGUAGGUGAACCUGCGGAAGGAUCAUUACCGAAUUCUUGGGCUGAGAAGCCCGAAUUCCACACCGAUUGUUUUAAGUCGGCUGCCUUCGCGGCUCCGACGAAAACCCAUUAUUCGCAUUGAAUAGAACAAAACUUUCAACAACGGAUCUCUUGGUUCUG
rnacentral:misc_RNA from 1 species